rnacentral:rRNA from 1 species
AGAACGAACGCUGGCGGCAGGCUUAACACAUGCAAGUCGAACGGUUGUAGCAAUACAGCAGUGGCAGACGGGUGAGUAACACGUGGGAACGUGCCCUUUGGUACGGAACAACUCCGGGAAACUGGAGCUAAUACCGUAUGUGCCCUUCGGGGGAAAGAUUUAUCGCCAAAGGAUCGGCCCGCGUCUGAUUAGCUAGUUGGUAGGGUAACGGCCCACCAAGGCUACGAUCAGUAGCUGGUCUGAGAGGAUGAUCAGCCACAUUGGGACUGAGACACGGCCCAAACUCCUACGGGAGGCAGCAGUGGGGAAUAUUGGACAAUGGGCGCAAGCCUGAUCCAGCCAUGCCGCGUGAGUGAUGAAGGCCUUAGGGUUGUAAAGCUCUUUCGGCGGGGACGAUAAUGACGGUACCCGCAGAAGAAGCCCCGGCUAACUUCGCGCCAGCAGCCGC